AAGAAACACAACGCAAUAUUUAAUGGACCUGGUGUAUGCUGACCGAUUAGACGUUUCAAUGGAGGCAUGUGACGUAAGCCACGAUUUCUCAAUGCAGAGUGAUGUCCCAUUUGAUGAGAGCGUUUUCUCAGUGUCGGACUAUGAUUACGACAGAUCUUUGGACUUCCAACAGAGAGACUUCGAGAACGUGUUCUUCAGGAAUGAAAUCUGACGUGUUUCCGAAACCUGACUCGGAUUUCGUCGGAACGAGACGACCGGGCAGCUGUGAAGCCAUAGACAGUAACAUCAUUGCGCAGACUCCAACUCAGGGAGGCGGAACGCUCUGCGUCACAGCUGCGCGAUGACGUGUACACCACGCCCCCAGUACGGCCACCAUCACGUGGCCAGCAGGUAAACCCGCUCCACCCUUUGUGUACGCGGUGUAAGAGCGUUGCAGUAACGUGCUGUCGCAUUGUAAUUGCUGAGAAGUGUGCAUGCAUUGUUCUGCCAACGGAUGCAUGUGUGUUUUCAGAGACUUUUACAGGUUGCUAAUCCUCCUCGGUGGAUCUCAGCUGUCUGUGCAACCCACCCAGAGCCUUGGGACAAAGCCGCAUGGCUGCCUGCUCAUCACUGCUGGGUAACUGUACAUGCUGUGGUAAAUGCUUGAAUGUAAAUCUACACAAGUGCACUCAGAGCUACAACACAUGUGUGAUAUACUUUGAGAACUUUUGUAAAUAUUGAUUGUAUUAACCAUUAAAAUGUGUUAAUUCUUAAAACUUA